rnacentral:rRNA from 1 species
UACGGAGGGGGCUAGCGUUUGUUCGGAAUUACUGGGCGUAAAGCGCACGUAGGCGCUUUGUAAGUUAGAGGUGAAAGCCCAGGGCUUAACCCUGGAAUUGCCUUUAAGACUGCAUCGCUAGAAUCGUGGAGAGGUGAGUGGAAUUCCGAGUGUAGAGGUGAAAUUCGUAGAUAUUCGGAAGAAACACCAGUGGCGAAGGCGACUCACUGGACACGUA